rnacentral:rRNA from 1 species
CGGACGUAGGUAACCUGCCUGGUAGUGGGGGGUAACUAUUGGAAACGAUAGCUAAUACCGCAUAAUAACAGUUGUUGCAUGACAACUGUUUGAAAGGUGCAAUUGCAUCACUACCAGAUGGACCUGCGUUGUAUUAGCUAGUUGGUGGGGUAACGGCUCACCAAGGCGACGAUACAUAGCCGACCUGAGAGGGUGAUCGGCCACACUGGGACUGAGACACGGCCCAG